GACGAACGCUGGCGGCGUGCUUAACACAUGCAAGUCGAACGGAAAGGCCCUGCUCUUGUGGGGUGCUCGAUUGGCGAACGGGUGAGUAACACGUGAGUAACCUGCCCUUGACUUUGGGAUAACUUCAGGAAACUGGGGCUAAUACCGGAUAGGAGCUCCUGCUGCACGGUGGGGGUUGGAAAGUUUCGGCGGUUCGGGAUGGACUCGCGGCUUAUCAGCUGGUUGGGGGGGUAGUGGCUUACCAAGGCUUCGACGGGUAGCCGGCCUGAGAGGGUGACCGGCCACAUUGGGCCUGCGAUACGGCCCAGACUCCUACGGGAGGCAGCGGUGGGGAAUAUUGCACAAUGGGCGGAAGCCUGAUGCAGCAACGCCGCGUGCGGGAUGACGGCCUUCGGGUUGUAAACCGCUUUCGCCUGUGACGAAGCGUGAGUGACGGUAAUGGGUAAAGAAGCACCGGCUAACUACGUG
rnacentral:rRNA from 1 species